rnacentral:snRNA from 1 species
GUGCUCACUUUGGCAGCACAUAUACUAAAAUUGGAACGAUACAGAGAUUAGCAUGGCCCCUGUGCAAGGAUGACAUGCAAAUUUGUGAAGUGUUCCAUAAUUUU